rnacentral:rRNA from 1 species
AACGCUGAGAACUGGUGCUUGCACCGGUUCAAGGAGUUGCGAACGGGUGAGUAACGCGUAGGUAACCUACCUCAUAGCGGGGGAUAACUAUUGGAAACGAUAGCUAAUACCGCAUAAGAGAGACUAACGCAUGUUAGUAAUUUAAAAGGGGCAAUUGCUCCACUAUGAGAUGGACCUGCGUUGUAUUAGCUAGUUGGUGAGGUAAAGGCUCACCAAGGCGACGAUACAUAGCCGACCUGAGAGGGUGAUCGGCCACACUGGGACUGAGACACGGCCCAGACUCCUACGGGAGGCAGCAGUAGGGAAUCUUCGGCAAUGGGGGCAACCCUGACCGAGCAACGCCGCGUGAGUGAAGAAGGUUUUCGGAUCGUAAAGCUCUGGUUGUUAGAGAAGAAUGAUGGUGGGAGUGGAAAAUCCACCAAGUGACGGUAACUAACCAGAGAGGGACGGCUAACUACGUGCCAGCAGCCGCGGUAAUACGUAGGUCCCGAGCGUUGUCCGGAUUUAUUGGGCGUAAAGCGAGCGCAGGCGGUUUUUUAAGUCUGAAGUUAAAGGCAUUGGCUCAACCAAUGUACGCUUUGGAAACUGGAGAACUUGAGUGCAGAAGGGGAGAGUGGAAUUCCAUGUGUAGCGGUGAAAUGCGUAGAUAUAUGGAGGAACACCGGUGGCGAAAGCGGCUCUCUGGUCUGUAACU